rnacentral:lncRNA from 1 species
UUUCUUUUUAAAUGUUUAUGGUAGAAGAACAUCAAGUAUAGUUGUCAACAGACUUCUUAAUAUUACUGGUUGUGCCUGUGCCUCCAAAGCAUGGAUUUGAUAGCUCCAAUAUUGUAAUCUAAAUUUCCUGGGUACCAGUUUUAAUCAUAUGAACUUGCUGAAGUUAACGAAGCAGCUGUCCAGAAGAAUGUCCUGCAUCUUGGGCAAUGCCCCCACUGCUGGAUAGAUUGCUGUUGACAGCUUUUGACCAGAGGGAGCCAUUAGAUUUUGCUGGCUAGCAAACAAUUACAGCUUUGAUAUGAGCUACAAGGCUCUACCUCUCCCCUGAGUAUUAGAAGUCUGAAAAGAAGAGCUGUCUCCAUGAAGAUGGGCCAAAUGCCCUCCCUCCUGUGGCUGAUUGUGCUACAUCAUCCCAACAUGAUAAACCAGAAAUCUUUGACAUUGUGAAGUCAGCAUGUGAUGGUCAUAAGAACACAAGACUUGGGGAAGGUGACAAGCCAGGGUUUAUAUUGAUGCUCUCCAUUGUUAGCUACAUAGUCACAGAAAGUAGCUGACUAUGUUUGAAAGGCAGGUAUUAAAAACAUUACUUUAGGGGAAAGAGGUAUAUAGGUUUUACGUGUCACCACAGAAGGCAAAACUAGGACUUCCUGAUAGAUAUGAUAGGAGUAUAUAUUUUCAACGUAAUACACUGAAAAAUCUUCAUUGAAGCAACUUCAAAAUGAAAUUUAAUGUUUUAUGAAACACAAUUUCUUCAUCCUUAAAUGUAUUUUAGUAGAGAAAAUGUGACUACGAGUUAAAGAAAGAAAUGCAUGUAUCAGAUGAGAAAGAAGGGAGGUUGCAUGAGGAAGCAGCAAAAGAUGUUUCCAAUCUGAGAUUUUCAAAUUCUCUAGUUUUAGUUUAAUUGAAUUGGCUUAAAUUAAACUCUCAUUCAAGUAUAUUUUAUACUUGAAUUUCAGGACUAUAUUCGUUUAUAGAAACAAAGUGUACUAAAUGUAAAACUUCUUUAUCAAAUGGAUAUAUACUAUAAAAUAACUUUCAAACUUAAUUUGUGUAGAAUUUGUACUUGGAUUUAGGGAUGUAUGAGCCAAUAUUAUGUUUAAUUCUUUAGUGGUUGAGAAAAUUUUAAUACAUUUCUUGGGGAAUCUAUACGCAUGUACAUACACAACAGAUUUUGUGAUAAUUCUGUACAACUAUCUACUGCUCUACUUUUCUCAUUGUUCCCAAAUACUGAAAAAUUCAGAACAUUAUAUUUUCUUUGAAAUGAAUAGAUUAUUUAUCAAAGAAAUUACACUAUUAAUCUUAGAGUUUCUAUAGUGAUUCAAACAUCAUUUACAU